CCCUAAAAAGUCCUUAAAACACAAAGG
rnacentral:tRNA from 1 species